AACGUAGGAGACGAACGUUAUCCGGAGUUACUGGGCGUAAAGGGCGUGUAGGCGGUUUGUUAAGUCUGGCGUGAAAGCCCCCGGCUUAACUGGGGAGGGUCAUUCGAUACUGUUCGACUUGAAGGCAGGAGAGGGCAGCAGAAUUCCCGGUGUAGUGGUGAAAUGCGUAGAUAUCGGGAGGAAUACCAGUGGCGAAGGCGGCUGCCUGGCCUGUUCUUGACGCUGAGGCGCGAAAGCUGGGGGAGCAAACGGG
rnacentral:rRNA from 1 species